UCGAAUAUGAACCUGCAUCAAACAGAGAGAGAUCAGAUACAUUAAAAGUAGCCGAAACAUUGUACUCACCUGGAAGGUCCAACUUGUAAGCAUUGUCGUUUAUCUUUUCAAUCACUUGAAAUGGACCAUCGUCCCUCGGUUGCAACUUGGACUUUCUUUGCUCCGGAAACCGCUCUUUCCUAAGGUGCACCCAAACCCAAU
rnacentral:lncRNA from 1 species